AACGAACGCUGGCGGCGUGCUUAACACAUGCAAGUCGAACGACGAACCGGGUGCUUGCACUCGGGGAUUAGUGGCGAACGGGUGAGUAACACGUGAGCAACCUGCCCCUGACUCUGGGAUAAGCGCUGGAAACGGCGUCUAAUACUGGAUAUGUCCCGUCACCGCAUGGUGUGCGGGUGGAAAGAUUUUUCGGUUGGGGAUGGGCUCGCGGCCUAUCAGCUUGUUGGUGAGGUAAUGGCUCACCAAGGCGUCGACGGGUAGCCGGCCUGAGAGGGUAACCGGCCACACUGGGACUGAGACACGGCCAAGACUCCUACGGGAGGCAGCAGUGGGGAAUAUUGCACAAUGGGCGGAAGCCUGAUGCAGCAACGCCGCGUGAGGGAUGACGGCCUUCGGGUUGUAAACCUCUUUUAGCAGGGAAGAAGCGAGAGUGACGGUACCUGCAGAAAAAGCACCGGCUAACUACGUGCCAGCCGCCGCGGUAA
rnacentral:rRNA from 1 species